GGAGUGGUGUUUGUGCAUUGCAAACGCUAAACAAAAUAUGUAGGUUAACAUCAUCACACCACGAUAAUAUCUAUCUAUUAUACUAAAUGAAUUCUCUUAGGCCACAAGGGCUAUUCUUAGCCAAUCAUUUUGAUGAUGUGGACACUCUCUUUGGCCAGAGAAUUCUUUCAUGGGCGCCAAACUCUUUUCCUCUAUUUUCCUUUCACGCGGCUUCUUAUACACGCUUUUAUCUGUAUCAUUCAAAAACCCUAAUUUUUCUUUAAUCCUCCUGAACAUCUCUCCCUAAAUCUCUUUUGUUUUCCUUCGUGGAGAUAUCACUUGUGGGUUCCAAUCGUGUAAUCCGAUUUACAACAGAUCUAGGGUUUAACUACGAUUCCAGACGGCGGCUAGGACUAGAGUUAUGGUGUGGGGCAGGAAAGGCUCUUCAGGUUUAACGAGACCAGCAUCAUAACAAUCAAAUCAAGCAAUGACGUUUAACGAGUCAUCAAUGGAGCAGACGAUCUGCAUCGUUAAAGCUAUUCAGAUUCUUCAUUUUUUAAACCCGCCUUCCAUGGGAAUUAGUGGGCCUUCUUCCAAAAGCCAUAUCAUUUUUGGAAGCCAUGUCAAGUUUUCUUGCUAUUCAAGAUCAUGGGAGAUGUCUUUGUAUUUGAUUCCAAAAGCCAUGUCAUUUUUGAAGAAUAUUAUUAGGAGCUUGCUGAACGGGACUCUACUGACUAUGUUAAACCCGCUAGCAUGGGUCAUGGGAGUUGCAGCAAUUAUGGCCAUUGCACUUGCCAACGGAAGAGUGACUGAUCUCAAGUUCUCAACUGGUAAACCACCUAAUUGGUUCAUUUAGAACAAGUGGGAUAGGUGUGGCACUGUCUGGUCCUGAUGGCGGCUGCCCUCCUAACUGCUGCAUCACCUGUUCAGGCUGUUCAUCCACACUUUUGACAAUUGCAGAUGCAUGUGUAAUGUUAAUAGGGGAAGGUUGCUUUACACAUUUAUGCUUAUACAUGAGUUUGCUAAACCCAACAUCUACUUCAGAAGUUAUGCUUUGUACCUGCCGAAACGGGUCCAUUUUCCCAAAGGAUUCUUUUGACUUUGGAAGAGAAGAAAGUCGCUUUCAAAACCCAUCUCAUUAAUUUAGACAACAAACCCAUAUGUUUCUUGAAGUGAACCCAGAUGGGAAAGUUCCUUUGGCCUAAUUUGAUGAGAAUUGGAUAUCUGAUUGUAAUGCUAUUGUGGGUCUAAUUAGGCUAGAAGGUGUGGGCUUCGUCCCACCCCCGUCGUGGCCCGGCACCGCUCCGUCACCCAUUUCUCCCCUCCCCAUCGUCGUCAAGAUCGUCGAGCCUAGGACGAUUGAGACGCUCCAAAAAAGACAAAAAGGGGAUGAACUUAGAGGGCAGUCAAAAGUGUCGGAGGAUCAGAAGUGGUACGCAGCGGCGUCGAGGUUGCUGUCUUGCUGACAUGUGACAUACUUCUAAUUUGAGUUGGAUGUUAUUGUAGACCAGGAAGAUCAGCAGAUGAAGAGGAAAGUGUCAAGAUUAUCAGAAUCUUUCAAUGCUAUUAAAGACGUAAAUUUGCAGUUAACAGCAUCUACUGCCAGGGAGCUAAUUGAAGAUCCUCUUAAAUAUGUUGGGUCCUCGAAAAGAUGGAAAAUUACGAGCAAUUAUGGUGACAUUGGUUUUAAGUAUAGAGAUGACCAAACAAUUGCUUAUGUUGCUUCUCGGAUGCCUGCGGUUUUCUCAGCUUGCUAUAGAGUCCUCACUGAGGAAAACACUCAAUCUUUUAAGUCUUUACCUUCAUUACUCUGCAGUGGCAGGUACCAAGUCUCUUUUGAGGCAUCAAAAGAGACUAAGGUUUCAUACGUUGAAGCAAGGGUUUGAAAUUGUUUGUUGCCCUUCUCAUGAAUAUUAUUGGGAGCUUGCUGAACGGGACUCUACUGACUAUGUUAAACCCGCUAGCAUGGGUCAUGGAAGUUGCAGCAUUAUGGCCAUUGCACUUGCAGUGUGGUUGCCAUAUCGAGUGUGGUUGCCAUAUCAUGACUCACCAGGCCUAGCCAUGUCUCUAGCUAUGGUUACCUGAGAUGAGAAAGGUUAGCUGUUGGCCAAACGUGUUGCUGACAAAAGCAACAUACAUGCUUCUAUAUGCAAGGCUUCAGCAAUACAAAGUGGUUGAGAUGAAACUUCUUGCCCAAUAGAGAGAUCUUCAGGGAGUUAUGAUAUGGAUAUAAGAAUCGUAAUAUUUAUAUUAAAAAAAGUUACUCUUUAAUAACACACUGAUUGAUAUAACGUAUGGAUUUGGUUUGGUCCAAAUAAUCUUCCAGUUUCAAAAUAUCUUCAUAUUUGUUUUCUGCUUACCAGGCGAAGAUUCCAAAUAUUGAGAAGUGCUUAGACGUUGUUGCUACUUUACAAGCUAAGAAAGACAAUGAUGAGGUUAGGUAUUAUACUUAAUGUCAUUGAGAAGUCUUUUUGAAUAAGUUAUAUGGCAUUAUCAUAUUACCUUAACAUGUAUUUGCAAGAAAAUGAGCCGUUUGAGAAGGUGGUCUGUUAUGGGUUGGUGCCAUUUAUGAUACUUUAUUUGAUCACCGAUUACAAGAUUGGUCCAGGUUUUCUUUGCGGUUUACUUCCUCCAAUUCGUUUAGGCGUUUUGAGAAUCUGUCCAGUUAAUUAUACAUGAGGAUUUUCCUGUCGAAAUCGAGUAUCGAUGUUGUGGUGAUCGCUGCUUCUUGAAAGACGAGACGGAAGAUGAACAUCAGCUUGAAAAGAAGUGUACGGACAAUCGUCACACUUUAUGUACAAGUCCUUCUUUGGAGGAUUCAGUUUCAUUGUUGAGGAGCAUGUAGCAAAGGAUACAUCAACACCUAUUGAUGAUUAUUGAUGAUGGUUGUUCAAGUGGAGGCUGCCAUUAUUUGGACGACCCAUCUAAACCAGCGAAUGGUUGCUUAUGACAUAAUGAUUGUAAUUCGAUUGCCGUUAAUUAUUUAUAUUCAUACGAUUGCGCUGAUAUACGUCUAUUGCCUUUAAUUAUUCACAUGAUUGCACUUAUGUCUAUUGUCGUUAAUGAUUCAAACUGAUAUGGUUAAAUUACUGAAAACAGGAAAAAAGAGCCUUUAAGGUAUAUUGCCUUUAAUUAUUCACGUGAUUGCACUGAUAUACGUCAAGUUCAAUCUUUCUGCACCUCUAAAGUCCACAUAAAUCAUACUCCCUGCCACUUCAGGGUCAUAUCCUUCUCAUAUAUGGUAACAAAUCUAUUUAGUAUGAGUUAUGCACGAAGAUGACCACAUAAUUCUCUAGCAAUACCUAGACUGAGAACCGGCUCAAUAGAAGUCUGAAGAUCUCGACGAGUCAUAGUUUCUUUUAUAUGUAAUGUUUUUAAUUAUGAAAAUAGUUUCCAUUAGCUCUUUUACAGGUGACUUUAUAUUAUUCAAAAUUUAGAAAAAAAAGUUUACAUGUUUUAUAGUUCUAUAAAGAAUCUCAUUUGAUACUUA